UGCCCUCCAACAGGUUAAGUUGCCCUCCAACAUAGACAACAUAUAUAUAUACUAGGGAAAUAAACGUUCAAUUUUAUUUUGUCUAUUGUUCCAGUUUAUAUGUAUCGAUAAGGAAUCAAAUGUGUAUAGCUUUAUAUAAAAUCGUAACUCUCCCCCUUUUCCCACAAAUGGGACGGAUGAGGCCUGUUCCUUCGGUGGUUCAAACGGCUAUUUCCAAUUCCAAUCCCAGUCUCAACCAUCAUCACCAUUAUCAUUACCACUCUCAGAAUCACAAUCGUAACCAUAAUAAUCAUAAUCAUCAUCGUCAUCAUCAUCAUCAUCAACAUAACCUGCCAAAAGCCCCGUCCCCUCCCCCGCCUCCGCCAACCUCGCAUCCUCGAUAUUCCAAGAUUGCGCAUGUCUGGACUGUUGUCCUCGUGAAACCCAACUGCCUUCCCCAUCCCCAUCCCCAUCCCCAUUUUCUCCCCCCACCCGCUGACCCUCAACAACAGCGUACUCAUCCGCACCAGCGCCAGAACCAACGUCUUUUCUCCGCUCCUUCACCAAAGCAAUGUACAUCGCACUCGCCAAAAUGAUCAUCGACCCAGCCAAGCUAACCGGCGACAGCGUCGCAUUGAACACCACCUUAUCAUACAACACCGCAAAAAGCAUCUGCGUAUACACCAUGGUUGUCGCCUUGGAGCCGUGCGUGGACGGCUUCGCAAUAUCUUCUUUCUUCACUUCUUCAUCCCGCCGCCGCCCUCCACCCCCCCGCACCCUUUCAUCACUCACUACCUCGCCGACCUGGCCCCCCACCGUCCCCUCCUGCUCUACGUCCGCAGCUAUAUCCACACCCACAUCCACACCCACGCCCAAAAAGCCUCCAACCUCCUUCUCCCCGUCUCCCGUAGCCGACGCGGGAGGCACGUACGACAACCCCGCCGUUAGCAAAAAUUGCAACAGAAACCCGCACGCCCCAAGCCCCAGCAGGAGCAGAAGCUCCGCCAUGUUGCCGGGAAGGCGGAAGCUGAUGCUGGGUAUCAGCGCGACGGCCAGCAGCGAGAUGAUCGUGGUUAGGCCGCUGAAAUACGUGACGCUGACGAGCGGGUGGGCGCGCUUGCCGAUGACGCGGAUGGAGGUGUACGCGGCCGUCGCACCGACGACGCCUAGGAGCGCGGCGAGAAUGCCGAGGGUGCGUUUGUAGACGUCGUCUGCUGAGCCUGCUGGGCUUGCUUUAACGUCCGUCGAUGACCAUGAAGAAGACGAUGCGGAUACGUGCGAAGAGCCACGAAACAGCGACGCCGGCCGUGCAAUUAGCACAACGCCCAGCAGCGACGCUAGCGCCGCCACCUGCUGUCUGCGCGUGAAGGUCUCGUUGGGCAUGGUUAGCGAGCAGACGUAGCAGCAGCCGAUGGGGGCUAGGAAAGUGAGCACGGUGGCUUCCGAGAGGGCGAGGUGGAGCAGCGAGCUGUACAGGCCGAAGACGCCGAAGAAGCCGCUGAUGCCGCGGAGGAAGAGGAGGGGCCGGAUCGAGCGGAUGCCAAAGGGGUGUGGGACGCGGGCGUAGAGCAUGUAGAGCAGGCUGAGGAGGACGGUGAUGCCCAUGCGCGCGAAGAGGAUCUGUGAGGGGAUGUUGUCAGAUUGUUUCCCUUCUCUUUUUUUCUUUUUUGAAGGUUCUUCAUUGGGGGGUGGGAGCGGGGUAGAAUGAUCAUGUCAUGAUAUAUUAUCAUUUAUCAAAGAGUGUACAUAUAAGAAAGAAGAGACGACGAUGAAAAAAAAAAAAAAAAAGACACAGUAUUACAAACCUGAAACGGAUGCAUUCCUUUCCCAUGACUCCCAUCCAAUUGAAGAGUGCGGGUCAUGACGUUCAUCGACGCGCCGAAGAACUGAGCCAGCAUUACCAUGAGCAUCCCCUUGCUCAUGAGCCAGGAUUGCCAGAGCUUGCGGCGCCAUGAUUGCACACGGCUCCCCUUGUUGCUGCGUUGGGGGCUGGGUGGUUCGGAACCGGUUGGCGGAGUGCGUUGGAGGAGCGGAGCUUGAGAACCGGAUACAUCAUCAUUCGUUUUAUUCUCCGGACGAAUAUGACAGGGUAGGAUGCAGUCAGGAUGCGUACAGGCUGAGGGAGCAACUCCAAUGGCUGUGCGU
rnacentral:sRNA from 1 species